rnacentral:lncRNA from 1 species
UGCAGGUAGAGGUGGACCUGAGUUGAUCCAAGCCCAUACCCCUGUUCUUCAAGGGCUCUGCUUCCUUUGCUGUGAAUGUAAAACAAGUGGAGCAGAGUGUGGGCUUUCCUUCUCCAGAUCCACAGCUGCAAACCCAGGCUUGGUCUGAGAUAACCGGAUAACAGUAGUCCUAUUUGCGGCUUGAAUUUUUUGCCUCAUGGUAGAGCAUUUUCAGGUAACAGCUGAGAAGAGAUUAAGUCACACACCGAGGGAAGAGGAUGGAACUCAUCAGAGCGCCCC